AGGAAAGUAGGGGAUCGCAAGACCUUGCGCUUUUGGAGCGGCCGAUGUCUGAUUAGCUAGUUGGUGAGGUAAAGGCUUACCAAGGCGUCGAUCAGUAGCUGGUCUGAGAGGACGACCAGCCACACUGGGACUGAGACACGGCCCAGACUCCUACGGGAGGCAGCAGUGGGGAAUUUUGGACAAUGGGGGAAACCCUGAUCCAGCCAUGCCGCGUGAGUGAAGAAGGCCUUCGGGUUGUAAAGCUCUUUCAGCCGGAACGAAACGGUCACAGCUAAUACCUGUGACUACUGACGGUACCGGAAGAAGAAGCACCGGCUAACUACGUGCCAGCAGCCGCGGUAAUACGUAGGGUGCGAGCGUUAAUCGGAAUUACUGGGCGUAAAGCGUGCGCAGGCGGUUUUGUAAGUCAGAUGUGAAAUCCCCGGGCUUAACCUGGGAACUGCGUUUGAAACUACAAGGCU
rnacentral:rRNA from 1 species